rnacentral:rRNA from 1 species
UUCGAUGCAACGCGAAAACCUUACUACCCUUGACAUGUCCGGAAUCCCGAAGAGAUUUGGGAGUGCGUCGCAAGGAGAACCGGAACACAGGUGCUGCAUGGCUGUCGUCAGCUCGUGUCGUGAGAUGUUGGGUUAAGUCCCGCAACGAGCGCAACCCUUGUCAUUAGUUGCCAUCAUUUGGUUGGGCACUCUAAUGAGACUGCCGGUGACAAACCGGAGGAAGGUGGGGAUGACGUCAAGUCCUCAUGGCCCUUAUGGGUAGGGCUUCACACGUCAUACAAUGGUCGGUACAGAGGGUUGCCAACCCGCGAGGGGGAGCUAAUCCCACAAAGCCGAUCGUAGUCCGGAUCGCAGUCUGCAACUCGACUGCGUGAAGUCGGAAUCGCUAGUAAUCGUGGAUCAGAAUGUCACGGUGAAUACGUUCCCGGGUCUU